UUUAAUUGGGUGGAGGACUUGACUUUCUAUCCAGAGGAAAAGAAAACUUGUAGACACUACAAAAUCUAUAUCAAUAUACCCAUCAACAAAACGAAAUUAGAAAACAGCUACAUGCUAUUUCAGUUGUUGAAUGAAAAGUUAUAAACAAGACGAGGAAGUUGUUGUGACUUGUGACUGUAAUAGUACUAGUCCCAUGUAAAUGGUGGUUUAAGGUGAUUGAAAGAAAGAGAUAAAGAGUUGGCAGCGAUUUCAGGUGGAGUGCAUCGCUUUUGGUCUCAUUAUCAAAUCUCUUGGGCGAGUUCAGUGGCUGCGAGAUUUUUCAAGUUUAUCAGAGUCUCUGUUCCUUCCUCGCAAACUUCCUCACUGGGUUUCACUCUCUCUCCUAUGUCUCUCAAAAUAUCAUUUAUGUGUAUUAGGGUUAUGUUUGAAUGUGUAAUUUGUAGGGCUCAUUUAUGAUUAUCAUUAUUAUUAUUUUGUUUAUGGGUUUAUUGCAUACUCCUGUUAAAUGGGUUUUUCUCACCUAAACAAGUUUGUACAAACUCAAAUGAUCUCAUUGAUUCAUAUGCUUUAUAAUUUGGAAUUAGUGAAAUUCAACUGAUGGGUUUAGUCCAGAAAUCAAUCUGCAUUGAAUAUCCAGCAUUGUUUUUUUUUAUAUUUUUUUUUUUAUGAGGACUUGUCUUAAAUAGUAGCAGGCCAUAAUCCCAAAGUUGAUUUCAGCAUCUGUGUUUGUGUUUGUGUUUGUGUGUGUGGAGACUAAUUGUUUUUGAUAGAUCGUUUGGUGUGUAUGGUUAACAUGAGCUGUAGUAUUACAGCGGUGGGCGGGCAAAUAAGCUCCAAGUUGUGGUACAUGAGCGUCUCAACUGACAGUGACACUAAUGACGCAAAGAAAAUUGGUGCUGAAGAAGAUUUUGAGAAUUUUCUUGGUUGCUUGAAAGAUACGAAUAUGCAAGCCCAAGGUGUGGAUCCCAAGAGGGGUUGGGGAUUUCGUGGUGUGCACAAGGGAGACUUAGGAUGACAUUAAAAACUUUGAGCUGACAAAGUUUGAUAAUGAAAAUAUAAACUUUGAGCUUUUAUGGGAGUGUCGGCUAUGUGUCCAAGUGUUUGUGAUAUAUGUACAGAGUUUGCUAUUCUGUAUCCUUUUGAUCAUUGAGGAAUUGUGACAUUUGUAUUUGUCCGCACUCUGCAAUACAUCAAUCCUAUUAUCAAGAAUCACAACAUCGUUUGAAGGGGAACUUUUAUAUGCAACAGAGAGGGUUUUGACUCUUCCAUGUUUAUAUGUGUGGCUAUGCAUGUUCUAUUGCUUUUUCGGUUUUUCCACUUGUGGUGUGUAUACGGUGCAGUCAUUCCCUCUCCCAUGUUGGUUCAUAUUUCGAAAAAUCUUCUGCUUACAUAUUGCUAAUAUAAGUUAAAUAUUCUUGCUGAGCUGCUGUGUCAUGGGAUCGAGAGUUCUAUAAAGAUUGCUGGAAUGCAAAAACAGUUGAGGAGG